GGCUGGUCUUUCUUAAAGACAUGUGCACGCUUGUCAUCUUUAUUUCUCCACUGUGCACACAUUGUAGACCUGGUUAUUUUGGAUUGUUCGAGUAAAAUUGAAUAGAUUGAGGAUUGCUGACCUUUCUCAAAGACAGCUUUGCCUUGCAUUUCCAGGUCUAUGUUAUUUCAUAAACCUUUGAUAUGUUACAGAAUGUUGAAUUGGGUCUUUGCACCUAUAAAGUUAAAUAUACAACUUUCAGCAACGGAUCUCUUGGCUCUCGCAUCGAUGAAGAACGCAGCGAAAUGCGAUAAGUAAUGUGAAUUGCAGAAUCAGUGAAUCAUCGAAUCUUUGAACGCAUCUUGCGCUCCUUGGAUUCCGAGGAGCAUGCCUGUUUGAGUGCAUUAAGUUCUCACUGCACUAGUUCUUUCUGGUGCAGCUUGGAUGUGGGUGUUUUUGCAGGCUUUUCAAGUCGGUCUCUGAAUGCAUUAGGGUCUCCUAGCAGAGAAACUGCUACAGGUGUGAUAAUUAUCUAUGCCUUUAGUACUCUGCAAGAACGGAUUGCACUGUUC
rnacentral:rRNA from 1 species